rnacentral:rRNA from 1 species
CCUACGGGUGGCAGCAGUGAGGAAUAUUGGUCAAUGGGCGAGAGCCUGAACCAGCCAAGUCGCGUGAAGGAUGAAGGAUCUAUGGUUUGUAAACUUCUUUUAUAUGGGAAUAAAGUGAGGAACGUGUUCCUUUUUGUAUGUACCAUAUGAAUAAGCAUCGGCUAACUCCGUGCCAGCAGCCGCGGUAAUACGGAGGAUGCGAGCGUUAUCCGGAUUUAUUGGGUUUAAAGGGUGCGUAGGCGGGCAUUUAAGCCGGCGGUCAAAUGUCGGGGCUCAACCCCGGCCUGCCGUCGGAACUGGGUGCCUUGAGUGGGCGAGAAGUAUGCGGAAUGCGUGGUGUAGCGGUGAAAUGCAUAGAUAUCACGCAGAACCCCGAUUGCGAAGGCAGCAUACCGGCGCCCUACUGACGCUGAGGCACGAAAGUGCGGGUAUCGAACAGGAUUAGAUACCCCGGUAGUC